rnacentral:rRNA from 1 species
GCAGUCGAACGGCAGCGCGGGGCAACCUGGCGGCGAGUGGCGAACGGGUGAGUAAUAUAUCGGAACGUGCCCAGGAGUGGGGGAUAACGUAGCGAAAGUUACGCUAAUACCGCAUACGAUCUGAGGAUGAAAGUGGGGGAUGUGCUUGCACACCUCAUGCUCAUGGAGCGGCCGAUAUCUGAUUAGCUAGUUGGUGGGGUAAAAGCCUACCAAGGCGACGAUCAGUAGCUGGUCUGAGAGGACGACCAGCCACACUGGAACUGAGACACGGUCCAGACUCCUACGGGAGGCAGCAGUGGGGAAUUUUGGACAAUGGGGGCAACCCUGAUCCAGCAAUGCCGCGUGUGUGAAGAAGGCCUUCGGGUUGUAAAGCACUUUUGGCGGGAACGAAACGGUUUUCUCUAAUACAGGGAGCUAAUGACGGUACCCGCAGAAUAAGCACCGGCUAACUACGUGCCAGCAGCCGCGGUAAUACGUAGGGUGCAAGCGUUAAUCGGAAUUACUGGGCGUAAGCGUGCGCAGGCGGUUUUUUAAGACAGAUGUGAAAUGCCCGGGCUUAACCUGGGAACUGCAUUUGUGACUGGAAGGCUAGAAUCUGGCAGAGGGGGGUAGAAUUCCACGUGUAGCAGUGAAAUGCGUAGAGAUGUGGAGGAACACCGAUGGCGAAGGCAGCCCCCUGGGCUAAGAUUGACGCUCAUGCACGAAAGCGUGGGGAGCAAACAGGAUUAGAUACCCUGGUAGUCCACGCCCUAAACGAUGUCUACUAGUUGUCGGGUCUUAAUUGACUUGGUAACGCAGCUAACGCGUGAAGUAGACCGCCUGGGGAGUACGGUCGCAAGAUUAAAACUCAAAGGAAUUGACGGGGACCCGCACAAGCGGUGGAUGAUGUGGAUUAAUUCGA